UAAAUUCUCGUAGUCGAAGCUGAAAGGUUGAUCGACCACAUUGGGUCUGAAAAAACCCCAAUGCAAGUUAGUACAGCAGUGAGGAAUCUUGGUCAAUGGCCUAACGGCUGAACUGGCAACUUGGAGAAGUGGCAAGUCUUAUUUUUGAUUAUAAUUUUAGAUAAUCUAUAAGAUUGUAUUAAAAUUGAAUAAAGCUUUGUUUAUAUAUUGAUAAUGACAAUAUAUAUAUCGUGUCUUGACUAAUUACGUGCCAGCAGUCGCGGUAAUACGUAAGAGACUAGUGUUAUUCAUCUUAAUUAGGUUUAAAGGGUACCUAGACGGUCAAUAUAGCUUCUAGAAUGUUAGUACUUGACUAGAGUUUGAUGUAAGGGGGCAGUACUUGAGGAGGAGAGAUGAAAUUCUAUUAUACCAAAGGGACUCGGUAAAGGCGAAGGCAGCCCUUUAUGUAAAAACUGACGUUGAAGGACGAAGGCACAGAGCACAAACAGGAUUAGAUACCCAAGUAGUCUUUGCAGUAAAUGAUGAAUGCCAUAGGUUAGAUU
rnacentral:rRNA from 1 species